rnacentral:rRNA from 1 species
UGGCGACCGGCGCACGGGUGCGUAACGCGUAUGCAACCUACCUUUAACAGGGGGAUAACACUGAGAAAUUGGUACUAAUACCCCAUAAUAUCAUAGAAGGCAUCUUUUAUGGUUGAAAAUUCCGAUGGUUAGAGAUGGGCAUGCGUUGUAUUAGCUAGUUGGUGGGGUAACGGCUCACCAAGGCGACGAUACAUAGGGGGACUGAGAGGUUAACCCCCCACACUGGUACUGAGACACGGACCAG